rnacentral:misc_RNA from 1 species
GAUGAAGAACGUAGUGAAAUGCGAUAAGUAAUGUGAAUUGCAGAAUUCAGUGAAUCAUCGAAUCUUUGAACGCACCUUGCGCCCUUUGGACAUUCCGAAGGGCAUGCCUGUUUGAGUAUCAUGAACACCUCAACUCUCAUGGCUUGUCUGUGAUGAGCUUGGACUUUGGGGGUCUUGCUGGCCUGUGGUCGGCUCCUCUCAAAUGGAUCAGCUUGCCAGUGUUUGGUGGCAUCACAGGUGUGAUAACUAUCUGCGCUUGUGGUUUUCCAUCAGAUAACCUUCAGUGAUAUGGAGGUUCGCUGGAGCUCACAAAUGUCUCACCUUAGUGAGGACAGCCCUUUGAACGUUUGAUCUCAAAUCAGGUAGGACUACCCGCUGAACUUAAGCAUAUCAAUAAGCGGAGGA